GGAGCGGCGAGACCGGCGCUGCGGAACCGCGGCUGCAGGACCACGACUGCAGGACCACAGGCGGAAGUGGAGCCGCUUUUCCCGCUGAUUUUCGCGCCGCGCCCUGGCCCCGCCCCGGCCGUAGGCGGAACCAUCGGCGCCUUGGCCAAGGGGGUUGGCGCAAUAUGGACGGGCCCGGGCGCGUGCGCGCUGGCCCUCUCGGGCUGCGCCUACCGCGCAUGCGCCGCAGCGAGGGUCUCGGUUGUUUGGUGGUCCGUGAGCUGUUUCCCGAGUGCUGAAUGGGUCUGCACUGGGCGGCACGGUGCCGGGUGGCCGUCGAGCCAGUGCUGUCCUGGCAAAGAGGGACAUGCUGCGCUGCUUCCACCUGAAAUUUAAACUAAUACGGUGCAAUGAAGCUGGCGCCCAGCUGCGCGGACUAGGAGGGCGCUGCGCACGUGGCCGCGAGGGCGGGGGUCUCGGCGUGUCCUGGGCCUGGCCUGGCGCCCAGUGUGCGGCCCAGGACCCUGAGGCUGGUGGAUGCGCCUCGAAAGAAGGUGUUUAGCAGUUUUGCGAACGGACCGAGACCACUGAAUUGCACACUUCUUUAAGGGUGAAGGUUAUAUUUCAAUCAAGCUGUUAUUUUGAAAGAGAACGUUGCUCUCAAAUGGCCAAAUUGGAAAGAAAGUUCUUAAAGCCUGAAGCUGGGUUAUCUGGCAGGCUCAAUGUCUGUGGAAUUCCCAUCACAGAAAAAUGCAGUCAGCCCGGUUCUGAAGUCUGACCACAGGUCUGGGAGGAAACUAAAUCACAAGGGUUGUCUGUGGGAGCGGGUGAGGGCUGAGACGGGAGUUUUACUUUGCCAUCUUCUCCAAGUUUUCUGUAAGGAGCGUGAAUCGUGCCUUUACAAAAGUAAAAUUUAAAGGAACAGAAACGUCAGUUGGGGUGGCGCUUGCAAAAUGACAAGAGUGAGGCAGUUGGCGGCUGACGAGACGGUUUGGUAGAGAAGCAUCGUUGCCCACAUGUUAUAAAGGGCACAGCAACUAGAUCCAUAUUUUGUUAGCAGCCAGUAGCAAGUUAUUGGUGGGCCGAGGCCAGCAUUUUUAAGGCUACAUUUUGUUACAGUUUUGUUUUGGUGUGUGUACUCUGAGCCACCAAGUAAAGCAUGUUUUUGUUUUAAGUGUGUUUUUUAAAAUUUAUUCAAGUAUAGUUGGUUUACAACGUUGUGUUAAUGUCUGUGGUACAGCAGAGUGAUUCAGUUAUACAUACACAUGCGUAUUCUUUUUUUAUGUGUUCUUUUCCAUUAUGGUUUAUCUCAGGAGAUUGGAUAUAGUUCCCUGUGCUAUACAGUAGGCCCUUGCUGUUUCUCCAUUCUAUAUAUAAUAGUUUGAAUCUGCUAACUCCAAACUCCCAAGCCAACCCUCUCUGGCUCCCACUCCCCCUUGGCAACCACACGUUUGUUCUGUGUCUGUGAGUCUGUUUCUGUUUUGUAGAUAAAUUCAUUUGUAUCAUUUUUGUUUUAGAUUCUGCCAAUCAGUGAUAUCAUCUAAUAUUUGUCUUUCUCUUUAAGACUUACUUCACUUAGUAUGUCAUCUCUAAGUCCAUCCAUGUUGCUGCAAAUGGCAUUAUUUCACUUUUAUGGCUAAUAUUCCACUGUCUGUAUACACCACAUCUUCUUUAUCUGUUCAUAUGUUGAUGGACAUGUAGGUUGUUUCCAUGUGUUGGCUCUUGCGAAUAGCGCUGCUGUGAACAUAGGGGUGCGUGUAUCUUUUCGAAUUAAAGUCUGUCUGGAUAUAGGCCCAGGAGUGGGAUUGCUGGGUCAUAUGGUAGCUCUCUUUUUAGUUUUAUGAGGAACCUCCAUACUGUUCUCCAUAGUGGCUGCAACUCACUUACAUUCCCACCAACAGUGCAGGAGGGUUCCCUUUUCUCCACACCCUCUCCAGCAUUUGUUACUUGUAGACUUUUUUUUUUUUUUUUUAGCAUUUAUUUAUUUGGCUACACCGGGUCUUCGUUGCGGCAUGUAGGAUGUUUUUUUUUUUUUAGUUGCAGCAUGUGGGCUCUUAGUUGUGGCAUGCAAACUCUUAGUUGCGGCAGGCGGGAUCUAGUUCCCUGAUCAGGGAUUGAACCUGGGCCCCCUGCAUUGGGAACGUGGAGUCUUAACCACUGGACCACCAGGGAAGCCCCCUGUAUGUAGACUUUUUAACGAUGGCUGUUCUCACCUCUGUGAGGUGAUACGUCAUUGUAGUUUUGAUUUCCAUAAAACGCAUUUUUAAUCAAAACAGUGGUUGGGGGUUGUAGGCAGGCAUCAACGUGAGUCAAAGCGGAGCCUACUGCGCGUUAAAGAGGGACAGGGUGUGGGAGGCUAGACCUGUCUGGGAGCCUAUGCCGCAGGCAUAGCCUGUUCUUGAGACCAGAGGCGAUAAGGGGACCUUGUACGCCUCGGCUGGCUUGUAGCUGCUCAUCGGGAGGGAGGGUGCAGCAAGUUGGUUUCCCACUCUGUGUUUCACAUUUUGAAAACAGAGGGACACCCGGUCUGGAGAGGUGGCAGCGCCAGGGCCUGACAGUAGUGACUGUGCGCUCGGCCCCCCACCCCCGCCCCCACCCCCGCCCCCACCCCCGCCUGCCGUUUAGCCCAGCCCCUGCCCCCUGUAGAUAAGCUGAUGGACAGGAAGCGGCCGGAGGCCUCCCCGGUUUCCGCAACGCUGAGCUGGCGCCACCGGCGUUUCACGUGUCUUGCCACCUGCCCACCCACCAGCCUGCAGCCACAGAGUGGGCGCUGGCUCAUGCCCUCCCAGAGCUGUGUGGGGCCCCAGGCAGGCCCCAAGGUCCUGAGAAAUCCAGGGAGACGCUUCGGGAGGGGACUCCCUUCCCGCCUGGCCACCACACGCUUUGUGAUAGGCACACGCCGCCAGGCGUGUCCACAGCAAGGGGACUCCUGGGAAGGGAAAGCGUUGCACAGACUCACUCCCGCUGGGGGCAGCUCUGGGACUCUAGGAUGAGCUGAGGCUGAGAAGGAUGCCACUGGAGUCUCAAGUCCAGAACAUGAGUGUGAACCUUUGUCUGCGGGGGUGGGAUGAGGGCUGGGAAGUGCUGGGGGUCUGGGGACUUAGCACGCUGACCCCUCACAGCCAGCCAGCAGGAAGGGGGCAGCCCCACAGCAGGGGCCUCAGGACCCGCCCCGCCGCUGUGGCCACCGUCCAUGCCCUGGCGCAGCGUCUGGCUGUGCCACUGUGGAGUAUUUUUAAUGUCACCCCUGGAGAGGAGGCCUUUUGGGAUGGUUUCAACCCUGGGGCCAGCUGUUUCUCAGAAAACUGCCCACCCACCUGCAGUGAUGGAGUUCGGCAGCCGAGGCAGCACUGGGCGACACCCCUCCCAAACACCGCCCCCUGGUCUGAGAGGCGCACAGCUGAGCCAAUCAGAACCUAUUGUGGGACCUGGGCCUCGAGUUAGAAUCCCCUUCUGUCUCCCCGGGUAGCAGCAAGUGAGAUGGAGGAGGACAGCCACCUUCCACCAUAUGUGUGGAGACAGCGAGCAAGGGACCCUGUGGCCCCAGAGACAGCCAGCCAGGCAGCCGCUAACUCAGAUGUGGUUUCUUUUGUUUUAUUUUUGCCGUGCCGGGUCUUAGUUGCGGCACACGGGAUCUUUAGUUGCAGCAUGUGGACUCUUAGUUGCGGCAUGCAUGCGGGAUCUAGUUCCCCGACCAGUGAUUGAACCCGGGCCCCCUGCAUUGGGAGCACGGAGUCUUACCCACUGGACCACCAGGGGUUGGUUUUUAAUAGUUUCCAGUUUGGUCUCGUGAGGGCCACUUUUUUAUGAGGUAGCCUUGAUUCCUUCCUAUACAUUUGCCUCUUUUUCUUAAAGUGCCUCUGGGUGGGUUUCUGUUUCUUCCAACCCAAAGAGCCUUGAUUAAAGCAUGGUCACAAAGGUUGGUCCAUUAGGCUGCAUUAGUAAAAGUGUAGAGAAGGGAGGUGAAAGCCCUUCUCUGACAGGGUUCCACCAGCCAUGUCAGGUUGGCAUAUAGGUGUGGAACGCUAAGAGGAUAUCGCCUGGCUGAAAUGCCUGGAUGGGAGAGAGACCAGAUGGCAGAGGGGCUAGACCCCUCGUCUGUGGGUGUUGACCCUGGAGAAACUUGGAGAUCUGGGACUGCCUUCAUUCAUUUGAUCAACCAGCGUUUACCGAGUGCCCCCCGGGAACCUGGCUGCUACGGACCCGCUACGCACCAGGUUGAGAACAAGACAGAUGAGGCCCCUGCUCUCGAGCUCACAUUCUAGUGGAGAGAGAGAGAAGCUAGUCAAAGAGAGAGAGAGAAUUUCAGAUAAAGACUGAAAGCUGGCCAUGGGGUUGAGGGCCGGGGGUGCCACUUCACACCUGAGGGUUCAGGGAGGCUUCUUGGAGGCAAUGACAUGUGAACUGAGACUUGCACGGCAAGAAGGAGCUGCCAGGGAAGAGAAUCCGGAGCAGAAGGAACUGCGAGUGUAAAGGCCCCGCAGCAGAGAUCACGCAGGGCAUAGCACCUCUCAUGACAGCGCCCUGGAAGUCCUGCAGUGCCACUUCUGCCCCUCCUGGGGGACGAAGGGGUUGCAAAGGUCCACCCAGCCUCCAGGGGAGGAGACGUAGGCCCCACCUCUAGACGGAGCGAGGUCCAGGCCACAUUGCAGGAUGAGCUGCCCAGAGGUGAGGUAGCAAGCUUCUGGUGACAAAGGACCACCAGGAGAAGGGAUCCAAGCGCUGAAUAUUAACAGCCAGAGUGUGUGCGCUUACCACGUGCCAGGUAUAGUCCUGAGAGCUUUGCACGUCCCUCCGUAUCUGAUCCACACAGCCACCGAGGAUGUAGACGGCUACAGAUAACACCCAUUUCAUGGAUGAGAAGACUGAGGCCCGAGAGGCUGAGCCACUUGCUUCGGGCCACACAGCCUGCAAGUGGCUGAGCUGAAAUUCAAACCUAGGCCCCCGCUGGCUGGCCCACGCAUAUGGGCUGAGCCAGAGCCUAUCUGCCCACCCAGGUGGCCCCCAUCCCUGACUGGGAGUGACCUGGUUCCAUCUGUCCACCAGCUCCUUGAGAGGCCUGUGGGCUUCAUCUCUGCCAGCAGGGCCUGUUCUGGGUCUGCAUACAGUAGCAUCACUAGUUGUGGGCUGACCUAAACUUUCGACCUGGAGGUUGAUCGAGGGGACCGUCGCGGUCUCCCAUGUGCUUUUCCUGCAGAAUUCCUCAUCCCCACAUUGGGUCUCUCAUCAGGCUGCAGCUGAACCUUACAGACCUUGGCAAUCUGGUGCUGUCACUCAACCCGUCACUGUGCCCUGGUCUCAGCCAGCAUCCUCAAUGCUCCUCGCCUUUCCAGUUACACCCCAACGUGAGGCCGGAUUAUCUUCACAUGCUUUGACCAAAACAACUCGUCACAGCAGAUUGGAUGUGGAGCGGCUGUGAGAAUCCAGCUGUCUCCUAUUCAACCAGACAUUAAAGUGACACAAAAAGGUAAGGAAUGCCACUCUUCUCACUAAAAUUUUUUGUCUUGGAAACUACAAUUAGUUUUCAUUUAUAAAAUGUGGAUGUAUUAUUAUUUUU